rnacentral:rRNA from 1 species
AUUAACGCUGGCGGCGUGCAUAACACCUGCAAGUCGAACGAUGAAACUCAUUAGAUUUCUUCGGAAUGAAAAUGAAUGGAUUAGUGGCGAACGGGUGAGUAACGCGUGAGUAACCUGCCUUACACAAGGGGAUAGCCUCUGGAAACGGAGAAUAAUACCCUAUGAAACCAGACAAUCGCAUGAUAAUCUGGUCAAAAUGUUUAGUGGUGUAAGAUGGACUUGCGUCUGAUUAGCUAGUUGGUGAGAUAAAAGCUCACCAAGGCAACGAUCAGUAGCCGGCUUGAGAGAGUGUACGGCCACAUUGGGACUGAGACACGGCCCAGACUCCUACGGGAGGCAGCAGUGGGGAAUUUUGCACAAUGGGGGAAACCCUGAUGCAGCGACGCCGCGUGAUUUAGAAGGCCUUCGGGUUGUAAAAAUCUUUUGUAUAGGAAGAAAAUGACAGUACUAUACGAAUAAGGUCCGGCUAAUUACGUG